GCCGGGCAUGGUGGCUCAUGCCUGUAAUACCAGCACCUUGGGAGGCUGAGGCGGGCGGAUCACCUGAGGUCAGGAGUUUGAGACCAGCCUGGCCAACAUGGUGAAACCCCGUCUCUA
rfam:Pan troglodytes isolate Yerkes chimp pedigree #C0471 (Clint) chromosome 19, whole genome shotgun sequence.